rnacentral:misc_RNA from 1 species
GAUGAAGAACGCAGCGAAAUGCGAUAAGUAAUGUGAAUUGCAGAAUUCAGUGAAUCAUCGAGUCUUUGGACGCACAUUGCGCCCCCUGGUAUUCCGGGGGGCAUGCCUGUCCGAGCGUCAUUGCCGCCCUCAAGCACGGCUUGUGUGUUGGGCCCCCGCCCCCCGGCUUCGGGGGGCGGGCCCGAAAGGCAGCGGCGGCACCGCGUCCGGUCCUCGAGCGUAUGGGGCUUCGUCACCCGCUCUGUAGGCCCGGCCGGCGCCCGCCGGCGACCCCAAUCAAUCUUUCCAGGUUGACCUCGGAUCAGGUAGGGAUACCCGCUGAACUUAAGCAUAUCAAUAACGGAGGA